rnacentral:rRNA from 1 species
UACGGAGGGUGCAAGCGUUAUUCGGAAUUAUUGGGCGUAAAGGGCGUGUAGGCGGCCAGAUAAGUCAGAGGUGAAAGCCCAGGGCUCAACCCCGGAAGUGCCUUUGAAACUAUUUGGCUUGAGUGCGGGAGAGGAAAGCGGAAUUCCCAGUGUAGAGGUGAAAUUCGUAGAUAUUGGGAGGAACACCGGUGGCGAAGGCGGCUUUCUGGACCGACACUGACGCUGAGGCGCGAAAGCGUGGGGAGCAAACAGG